rnacentral:tRNA from 1 species
GCCUCGUUAGCGUAGUUGGAUUAUCGCAUCUGUCUAAUACGCAGUGCCUCAGAUCACUCUGAGUAUUCACAACAGAAGGUCACUGGUUCGAGCCCAGUACGGGGCA